AUUGAACGCUGGCGGCAUGCUUUACACAUGCAAGUCGAACGGUAACAGGCCGCAAGGUGCUGACGAGUGGCGAACGGGUGAGUAAUGCAUCGGAACGUGCCCAGUCGUGGGGGAUAACGCAGCGAAAGCUGCGCUAAUACCGCAUACGAUCUCUGGAUGAAAGCGGGGGACCGAAAGGCCUCGCGCGAUUGGAGCGGCCGAUGUCAGAUUAGGUAGUUGGUGGGGUAAAGGCUCACCAAGCCAACGAUCGGUAGCUGGUCUGAAAGGACGACCAGCCAACAUGGGACUCAGACACGGCCCAGACUCCGACGGGAGGCACCAGGGCGGAAUUUUGGACAAGGGGCGUAAGCCUGAUCCAGCAAUGCCUCGUGCAGGAAGAAGGCCUUCGGGUUGUAAACUGCUUUUGUACGGAACGAAACGGUCCUGGUUAAUACCUGGGGCUAAUGACGGUACCGCAAGAAUAAGCACCGGCUAACUACGUGCCAGCAGCCGCCGUAA
rnacentral:rRNA from 1 species